rnacentral:rRNA from 1 species
AUUGAACGCUGGCGGCAUGCCUUACACAUGCCAGUCGAACGGCAGCACGGGUGCUUGCACCUGGUGGCGAGUGGCGAACGGGUGAGUAAUACAUCGGAACAUGUCCUGUAGUGGGGGAUAGCCCGGCGAAAGCCGGAUUAAUACCGCAUACGAUCCACGGAUGAAAGCGGGGGACCUUCGGGCCUCGCGCUAUAGGGUUGGCCGAUGGCUGAUUAGCUAGUUGGUGGGGUAAAGGCCUUCCAAGGCGACGAUCAGUAGCUGGUCUGAGAGGACGACCAGCCACACUGGGACUGAGACACGGCCCAGACUCCUACGGGAGGCAGCAGUGGGGAAUUUUGGACAAUGGGCGAAAGCCUGAUCCAGCAAUGCCGCGUGUGUGAAGAAGGCCUUCGGGUUGUAAAGCACUUUUGUCCGGAAAGAAAUCCUUGGCUCUAAUACAGUCGGGGGAUGACGGUACCGGAAGAAUAAGCACCGGCUAACUACGUG